GAUGAAGAACGUAGCGAAAUGCGAUACGUAAUGUGAAUUGCAGAAUUCAGUGAAUCAUCGAAUCUUUGAACGCACAUUGCGCCCGCCAGUAUUCUGGCGGGCAUGCCUGUCUGAGCGUCAUUUCAACCCUCAUGCCCCUAGGGCGUGGUGUUGGGGAUCGGCCAAAGCCCGCGAGGGACGGCCGGCCCCUAAAUCUAGUGGCGGACCCGUCGUGGCCUCCUCUGCGAAGUAGUGAUAUUCCGCAUCGGAGAGCGAUGAGCCCCUGCCGUUAAACCCCCAACUUUCCAAGGUUGACCUCAGAUCAGGUAGGAAUACCCGCUGAACUUAAGCAUAUCAAUAAGCAGAGGA
rnacentral:misc_RNA from 1 species